rnacentral:rRNA from 1 species
GAAUUGCGAUAAGUAAUGUGAAUUGCAGAAUUCAGUGAAUCAUCGAAUCUUUGAACGCACCUUGCACCCUCUGGUAUUCCGGAGGGUAUGCCCGGUUGAGUAUUAUGAUCAACUCAAGCCUCCGGUUUCUAAAUCGCAAAGGUCUUACGGUUCGACGAACCCGUCCAUUGGGAUGGUGGUAGUUGACGCUUGACUUGGAAACUCGGAUUGGCAUUGGACUUGAGCGCAUGUCGGUUGUGUUAACGAUCGACUCGCUUGAAAUGUAUUAGACUGGCGUACCCGCCUUACGGUUCCACUCGACGUAGUAAGACUUAUUCGUUGAGGACACCUCUCUUGAUUGAAAGGUGGCCGACAGGUGUCUGGUAUUGAAAGCCGGCUUCUAAAUCGUCUUAGGACAAUUUCCAUUGAACGAUUGAUCUCAACUCGGGGUAGGACUACCGCUGAACUUAAGCAUAUCAAUAAGCGGAGGAAAAAGAAAACUAAACAAGGAUUCCCCUAGU